rnacentral:rRNA from 1 species
GGUUAAGUAAUUAAGCGUACACGGUGGAUGCCUUGGCAGUCAGAGGCGAUGAAAGACGUAUUAACUUGCGAUAAGCCCAGAUUAGGUAGUAAAAACCAUUUGAGUCUGGGAUUUCUGAAUGGGGAAACCCACGUGCAUAAGCACGUAUCACUACAUGAAUACAUAGUGUAGUGAGGCGAACCGGGAGAACUGAAACAUCUAAGUACCCCGAGGAAGAGAAAUCAACCGAGAUCCCGAAAGUAGCGGCGAGCGAAAUUGGGUUAGCCCUUAAGCUUUUAAUGAGACAGGUGAAGGCUCUGGAAAGUGCCGCGAUACAGGGUGAUAGCCCCGUAACCGACAUCUCAUCAUCAGUGAAAACGAGUAAGGCGGGACACGUGAUAUCCUGUCUGAAUAUGGGGGGACCAUCCUCCAAGGCUAAAUACUACUGACUGACCGAUAGUGAACCAGUACCGUGAGGGAAAGGCGAAAAGAACCCCUGUGAGGGGAGUGAAAUAGAACCUGAAACCGUGUACGUACAAGCAGUAGGAGCACCCUCGUGGUGUGACUGCGUACCUUUUGUAUAAUGGGUCAGCGACUUAUAUUCAGUGGCAAGGUUAACCGUUUAGGGGAGCCGUAGGGAAACCGAGUCUUAACUGGGCGUUCAGUCUCUGGAUAUAGACCCGAAACCAGGUGAUCUAGCCAUGGGCAGGUUGAAGAUUGAGUAACAUCAAUUGGAGGACCGAACCGACUAAUGUUGAAAAAUUAGCGGAUGACUUGUGGCUAGGGGUGAAAGGCCAAUCAAACCUGGAGAUAGCUGGUUCUCCCCGAAAUCUAUUUAGGUAGAGCCUCGGACGAAUACUACUGGGGGUAGAGCACUGUUAAGGCUAGGGGGUCAUCCCGACUUACCAACCCUUUGCAAACUCCGAAUACCAGUAAGUACUAUCCGGGAGACACACGGCGGGUGCUAACGUCCGUCGUGGAGAGGGAAACAACCCAGACCGCCAGCUAAGGUCCCAAAGUUAUAGUUAAGUGGGAAACGAUGUGGGAAGGCUCAGACAGCCAGGAUGUUGGCUUAGAAGCAGCCAUCAUUUAAAGAAAGCGUAAUAGCUCACUGGUCGAGUCGGCCUGCGCGGAAGAUGUAACGGGGCUAAACUAUACACCGAAGCUGCGGCAAUACAGUUUACUGUAUUGGGUAGGGGAGCGUUCUGUAAGCGGUUGAAGGUGCGUUGUAAAGCGUGCUGGACGUAUCAGAAGUGCGAAUGCUGACAUGAGUAACGAUAAAGCGGGUGAAAAACCCGCUCGCCGGAAGACCAAGGGUUCCUGUCCAACGUUAAUCGGGGCAGGGUAAGUCGACCCCUAAGGCGAGGCCGAAAGGCGUAGUCGAUGGGAAACGGGUUAAUAUUCCCGUACUUCUUACAAUUGCGAUGGGGGGACGGAGAAGGCUAGGUGGGCUUGGCGACGGUCGUCCAAGUUCAAGUAUGUAGGCUGUAUUCUUAGGCAAAUCCGGGAAUACACUAGGCUGAGAUACGAUGUCGAGCUACUACGGUAGUGAAGCCAUUGAUGCCAUGCUUCCAGGAAAAGCCUCUAAGCUUCAGAUUGUAAGGAAUCGUACCCCAAACCGACACAGGUGGUCGAGUAGAGAAUACUAAGGCGCUUGAGAGAACUCGGGUGAAGGAACUAGGCAAAAUGGUACCGUAACUUCGGGAGAAGGUACGCUCCUAGCGGUGAUGAGACUUGCUCUCUAAGCUGCCGGGAGUCGCAGAUACCAGGUGGCUGCAACUGUUUAUUAAAAACAUAGCACUGUGCUAAAUCGUAAGAUGACGUAUACGGUGUGACGCCUGCCCGGUGCUUGAAGGUUAAUUGAUGGGGUUAGAUUGUUUCUCUAUAUAGAGAGGGGUCGAAGCUCUUGAUCGAAGCCCAAGUAAACGGCGGCCGUAACUAUAACGGUCCUAAGGUAGCGAAAUUCCUUGUCGGGUAAGUUCCGACCUGCACGAAUGGCGUAAUGAUGGCCACGCUGUCUCCACCCGAGACUCAGUGAAAUUGAAAUCGCUGUGAAGAUGCAGUGUACCCGCGGCUAGACGGAAAGACCCCGUGAACCUUUACUACAGCUUGGCACUGAACAUUGACCCUACAUGUGUAGGAUAGGUGGGAGCCUUUGAAGCAAGUACGCCAGUAUUUGUGGAGGCAAUCUUGAAAUACCACCCUUGUAUGCUUGAUGUUCUAACGUUGGCCCCUUAUCGGGGUUGCGGACAGUGCCUGGUGGGUAGUUUGACUGGGGCGGUCUCCUCCCAAAGAGUAACGGAGGAGCACGAAGGUGGGCUAAUCACGGUUGGACAUCGUGAGGUUAGUGCAAUGGCAUAAGCCCGCUUGACUGCGAGAAUGACAAUUCGAGCAGGUGCGAAAGCAGGUCAUAGUGAUCCGGUGGUUCUGAAUGGAAGGGCCAUCGCUCAACGGAUAAAAGGUACUCCGGGGAUAACAGGCUGAUACCGCCCAAGAGUUCAUAUCGACGGCGGUGUUUGGCACCUCGAUGUCGGCUCAUCACAUCCUGGGGCUGAAGUCGGUCCCAAGGGUAUGGCUGUUCGCCAUUUAAAGUGGUACGCGAGCUGGGUUUAGAACGUCGUGAGACAGUUCGGUCCCUAUCUGCCGUGGGCGUUGGAUGAUUGAAGGGGGCUGCUCCUAGUACGAGAGGACCGGAGUGGACGAACCUCUGGUGUUCGGGUUGUCACGCCAGUGGCAUUGCCCGGUAGCUAAGUUCGGAAUCGAUAAACGCUGAAAGCAUCUAAGCGUGAAGCGAGCCCUGAGAUGAGUCAUCCCUGAUACUUUAAGUAUCCUAAAGGGUUGUUGGAGACUACGACGUAGAUAGGUCAGGUGUGUAAGUGCUGCGAGGCAUUGAGCUAACUGAUACUAAUUGCCCGUGAGGCUUAACCAU